AUGGAGAAGAUAGAAAGCUGCGGAGGCAGACAUUUGCAGCAUGUUCGAGUGAGCAUGAAGACCACAAGUGUGUGUCGAACUUUUCAUGACCUGAUGGCAGUGUUUCCCAAUCCUGGUCCUGGAGAACCCCAACACUGCAUGGUUUUGGUGUCUCUCUUGUCUGACACACACUUUUGAGGUCUUGGAGUCUUCACUGAUGAGCUGAUGAGUUGAAUCAGGUGUGUUUGAAUAGGGAGACAUCUCAAAUGUGCAG
ensembl:lncRNA